UGGCCCUGGAGCUCUACACGCAGAGAUC
rnacentral:piRNA from 1 species